UGGGGAAUAUUGGGCAAUGGGCGCAAGCCUGACCCAGCCAUGCCGCGUGAGUGAUGAAGGCCUUCGGGUCGUAAAGCUCUGUGGGGAGGGACGAAAAGCCGGGGAGCUAAUACCCCCCGGGUUGACGGUACUUCCUUAGCAAGCACCGGCUAACUCCGUGCCAGCAGCCGCGGUAAUACGGAGGGUGCAAACGUUGCUCGGAAUCAUUGGGCGUAAAGCGCGCGUAGGCGGCUCGCUAAGUCGAAUGUGAAAGCCCGGGGCUCAACCCCGGAAGUGCAUACGAAACUGGCGAGCUUGAGUAUGGAAGAGGGUCUCGGAAUUCCCGGUGUAGAGGUGAAAUUCGUAGAUAUCGGGAGGAACACCAGUGGCGAAGGCGGAGACCUGGGCCAAUACUGACGCUGAGGUGCGAAAGCGUGGGGAGCAAACAGGAUUAGAUACCCCCGUAGUCC
rnacentral:rRNA from 1 species